AUCUGCCAGCAUCAUAAAUAACAGACAAGGGAUGCCUGGGUGGCUCAGUCGUUAAGCAUCUGCCUUUGGCUCAGAGCAAGCGCCCAGGCUUCACCAUCAAGGAGCUUGGAAGUGGGAAGCAACACAAAAUGAGGAGUAAACCAGGUGGACAAGAUGAGCACAGUGAUGAGAGCCCAUGAGCAGAGAAGACAAGCCAGCAGGAUAGAUUGGAGAUUGACAACCAGAGAGAGGAGGAAUCACGGAAGAGAAGAGAAGAGGAGAGGAGAGGAGAGAAGAAAAAAGAAAAACAUAAAAUUAAGAACUCUAAACAGACUUCCACAUCAACUCUACCCUAUCCUCCAAAAAAGUCUUUUGGUGUCAAUUUCUAUAAAAAUUAAAUUUA